UACGUAGGGGGCAAGCGUUGUUCGGAAUUACUGGGCGUAAAGGGCGCGUAGGCGGCACGGCAAGUCAGGAGUGAAAGCCCUGGGCUCAACCCGGGAACUGCUUUUGAAACUGCCGAGCUAGGGUGCGGAAGGGGCACUGGAAUCCCAGUGUAGCGGUGAAAUGCGUAGAUAUUGGGAAGAACACCUGAGGCGAAGGCGGGUUGCUGGGCCGACACUGACGCUGAGGCGCGAAAGCCAGGGGAGCGAACGGG
rnacentral:rRNA from 1 species